rnacentral:rRNA from 1 species
AACACGUGAGCAACCUGCCCCUGACUCUGGGAUAAGCGCUGGAAACGGCGUCUAAUACUGGAUAUGAACAAGAAUCGCAUGGUUACUUGUUGGAAAGAUUUAUCGGUUGGGGAUGGGCUCGCGGCCUAUCAGCUUGUUGGUGAGGUAAUGGCUCACCAAGGCGUCGACGGGUAGCCGGCCUGAGAGGGUGACCGGCCACACUGGGACUGAGACACGGCCCAGACUCCUACGGGAGGCAGCAGUGGGGAAUAUUGCACAAUGGGCGAAAGCCUGAUGCAGCAACGCCGCGUGAGGGAUGACGGCCUUCGGGUUGUAAACCUCUUUUAGCAGGGAAGAAGCGAGAGUGACGGUACCUGCAGAAAAAGCACCGGCUAACUACGUGCCAGCAGCCGCGGUAAUACGUAGGGUGCAAGCGUUAUCCGGAAUUAUUGGGCGUAAAGAGCUCGUAGGCGGUUUGUCGCGUCUGCUGUGAAAUCUGGGGGCUCAACCCCCAGCCUGCAGUGGGUACGGGCAGACUAGAGUGCGGUAGGGGAGAUUGGAAUUCCUGGUGUAGCGGUGGAAUGCGCAGAUAUCAGGAGGAACACCGAUGGCGAAGGCAGAUCUCUGGGCCGUAACUGACGCUGAGGAGCGAAAGGGUGGGGAGCAAACAGGCUUAGAUACCCUGGUAGUCCACCCCGUAAACGUUGGGAACUAGUUGUGGGGUCCAUUCCACGGAUUCCGUGACGCAGCUAACGCAUUAAGUUCCCCGCCUGGGGAGUACGGCCGCAAGGCUAAAACUCAAAGGAAUUGACGGGGACCCGCACAAGCGGCGGAGCAUGCGGAUUAAUUCGAUGCAACGCGAAGAACCUUACCAAGGCUUGACAUAUACGAGAACGGGCCAGAAAUGGUCAACUCUUUGGACACUCGUAAACAGGUGGUGCAUGGUUGUCGUCAGCUCGUGUCGUGAGAUGUUGGGUUAAGUCCCGCAACGAGCGCAACCCUCGUUCUAUGUUGCCAGCACGUAAUGGUGGGAACUCAUGGGAUACUGCCGGGGUCAACUCGGAGGAAGGUGGGGAUGACGUCAAAUCAUCAUGCCCCUUAUGUCUUGGGCUUCACGCAUGCUACAAUGGCCGGUACAGUGGGCUGCAAUACCGUGAGGUGGAGCGAAUCCCAAAAAGCCGGUCCCAGUUCGGAUUGAGGUCUGCAACUCGACCUCAUGAAGUCGGAGUCGCUAGUAAUCGCAGAUCAGCAACGCU